rfam:Stegodyphus mimosarum contig39666, whole genome shotgun sequence.
GCCUUCGUGGUGUAAUGGUAGCACACUAGGCGCAUAUUCGAGAGGUCCGGAUUCGAGUCCCGGUGAAGGCA